UACGUAGGGGGCAAGCGUUGUUCGGAUUUACUGGGCGUAAAGGGCGCGUAGGCGGCGUGGUAAGUCAGCUGUGAAAUCUCCGAGCUUAACUCGGAACGGUCAGCUGAUACUGCUGUGCUAGAGUGCAGAAGGGGCAAUCGGAAUUCUUGGUGUAGCGGUGAAAUGCGUAGAUAUCAAGAGGAACACCUGAGGUGAAGACGGGUUGCUGGGCUGACACUGACGCUGAGGCGCGAAAGCUAGGGUAGCAAACGGG
rnacentral:rRNA from 1 species